rnacentral:tRNA from 1 species
UGGCUCAGCGGUAAAGUAUCCGCCUGCAAUGCAGGAGACCCAGGUUCGAUCCCUGG